GUGGAUUAGAUACCCCGGUAGUCCAUGCCGUAAACGUUGGGCACUAGGUGUGGGGGACAUUCCACGUUUUCCGCGCCGUAGCUAACGCAUUAAGUGCCCCGCCUGGGGAGUACGGCCGCAAGGCUAAAACUCAAAGGAAUUGACGGGGGCCCGCACAAGCGGCGGAGCAUGCGGAUUAAUUCGAUGCAACGCGAAGAACCUUACCAAGGCUUGACAUGUGCCAGACCGCUCCAGAGAUGGGGUUUCCCUUCGGGGCUGGUUCACAGGUGGUGCACGGCCGUCGCCAACU
rnacentral:rRNA from 1 species